rnacentral:rRNA from 1 species
UACGGGGGGGGCAAGCGUUGUUCGGAAUUACUGGGCGUAAAGGGCGCGUAGGCGGUUUGCUAAGUUGGACGUGAAAACUCUGGGCUUAACCCAGAGCCUGCAUCCAAAACUGGCAAGCUGGAGUUUUGGAGGGGGAAGCGGAAUUCCUGGUGUAGCAGUGAAAUGCGUAGAUAUCAGGAGGAACACCGGUGGCGAAGGCGGCUUCCUGGACAAAAACUGACGCUGAGGCGCGAAAGCUAGGGGAGCAAACAGG